GUGGGGAAUCUUGCGCAAUGGACGAAAGUCUGACGCAGCGACGCCGCGUGAGUGAUGAAGGCCUUAGGGUCGUAAAGCUCUGUUGAAUGGGAAGAAAAAAAUGACGGUACCAUUCGAGGAAGGACCGGCUAACUUCGUGCCAGCAGCCGCGGUAAUACGAGGGGUCCUAGCGUUGUUCGGAAUCAUUGGGCGUAAAGGGUGUGUAGGUGGCCAUGUAAGUCAGGUGUGAAAGCCCCGGGCUCAACCCGGGAAGUGCACUUGAUACUGCGUGGCUUGAGUACCGAAGAGGGUAGUGGAAUUCCAGGUGUAGUGGUGAAAUACGUAGAUAUCUGGAGGAACACCGGUGGCGAAGGCGGCUACCUGGUCGAGUACUGACACUGAGACACGAAAGCAUGGGGAGCAAACAGGAUUAGAUACCCGUGUAGUCC
rnacentral:rRNA from 1 species